CAACGGAUCUCUUGGUUCUGGCAUCGAUGAAGAACGCAGCAAAAUGCGAUAAGUAAUGUGAAUUGCAGAAUUCAGCGAAUCAUCGAAUCUUUGAACGCACAUUGCGCCCGCCAGUAUUCUGGCGGGCAUGCCUGUUCGAGCGUCAUUUCAACCCUCA
rnacentral:rRNA from 1 species